GCUCCCCGCAGGCUGCCUGCGAAGGGAGCACGGAGUGAAGCUCUCCAAGAAUAAGGCAAGGAUGAUAACUUCUGUGCAGUUUGGAGUAAUAGGACAGGAUUGGAAUGCACCUUGAGACGUGUAUGACUACAUGUCUGAUAGUACAUUCAAAGUAUACCUUCAGUAAAGAAUACAAGAGCCCAGGUUAAAAUGAGUAGUAGAACUCAACUCUUCAAACAGUACAAAGCUACAAGCAAAAGUAAAAUAUUACUUCAUCACAGUAACAAUGCCAAGUACUUCUCUUCAUAAGGACUGUGUCAGUAGCACACAAAUCCAGACAACACAAUCAGCAGAAAGGAGACAGUGAAGCUGGGCUGUGUUCCAGAGCAUCUACCCACCUUUUUCAUAUUCCCACCGAGCAGUGAGUAAGGAGGUUUGUUGACAUGGUUCCAGUCAACCGGCACACGAGUCAUAUCAUACAAUUGGAAGAUGAUUAAAGCAUCAGAAAGGUCACUAAACCAGAGGAAAACAACGUUCUAAGCACAAAAGCUCAUAUUGACAAUGAAACAAAGAAGCACACUUAAGAAAAUAUUUUGCCUGAAUAUGUGAGUUUGGAAUAACCUCAUCACUUCAUUCCCACAGUUAAGAAAAUAGAGAGAACACUGAGGAGGGAGAAAACCUCCCCAAACAAUGAAAGAACAGAUUUCUCUGGACUGAAGCACAAAUACCUAAAAAGCAUAAAGAAGAAAGUGCUUUUCAGUGAACAGGAGCAGGACAGACAAUUCUUACAGCAGAAAUGUGAAAACACGCAGGCAGGAAAUGGAGAAAAAGAAGGAAUGCAGAUGGUGAAAACCCAACCAAACAGAAAAGCAGUUAGACAACACCACUGGAGAAAAAAGGAGGGUCCUCUACAGUACAUGGCAAAAGCAACUGGCAGCAUUUCAAAACCCGUCUCUGCAGAGUGCACAGAUGCAGAAGUGCUACCUGUUUGCCAGUUCAGAGCCUUAAGGAGCUAUGUUUGCACAAGUGCUGAGGAUAAAAGCAGCACAGUAGUGAAUCUGAGUAACUAAAGCUAAACAGGGUAUUGUUCGUUAGUACCUUCCAAACUAGAGGACUAUCUGGGGCAUGCAUGAAGUUCAUUUGCUGGCACUGUAGUUCUUAAUAAUUACACCAGAAUAAAACA